GAACGAACGCUGGCGGCAGGCCUAACACAUGCAAGUCGAGCGGACCCUUCGGGGUUAGCGGCGGACGGGUGAGUAACGCGUGGGAACAUACCCUUUGGUACGGAAUAGCCUCGGGAAACUGGGAGUAAUACCGUAUGUGCCCUUCGGGGGAAAGAUUUAUCGCCAAAGGAUUGGCCCGCGUUGGAUUAGGUAGUUGGUGGGGUAAUGGCCUACCAAGCCGACGAUCCAUAGCUGGUUUGAGAGGAUGAUCAGCCACACUGGGACUGAGACACGGCCCAGACUCCUACGGGAGGCAGCAGUGGGGAAUCUUAGACAAUGGGCGCAAGCCUGAUCUAGCCAUGCCGCGUGAGCGAUGAAGGCCUUAGGGUUGUAAAGCUCUUUCAGUGGGGAAGAUAAUGACGGUACCCACAGAAGAAGCCCC
rnacentral:rRNA from 1 species